rnacentral:rRNA from 1 species
UUUUUUAACAUGGCUAUAGAGUAUUUAAGUCAAAACCCGAAUGGAGGUGAACUAUUCCUGCAAAGAUUGAAGUCAGGGGAAACUCUGAUGGAAGAUCGUUGGCGUUAUUGAUGUGCAAAUCAUUUGCUUUAUGUAGGUAUAGGUGCGAAAGACUCAUCGAACCUCCUAAUAGCUGGUUUCCUCCGAAGUUUCCCUCAGGAUAGCUGUAACAUUUUUAAAUAGUUAAGGAUAGUAGAGAAAUGGGUAGAGGUGUAGUGGAACUACGGUUCUGCAACUUAUUUCCAAACUUCGAACGUUCUUGAUAUAAAAAAUUACCUAAUAGGAAUUUUUUAUUUAAAUAUAUGUUAUAAGUGGGCUCUGACCGGUAAGCGGUCAUGGCGAAAAGGGAUGAACCUAACGUAUAAAUAAGGUGCCUAAAUUUACUAACAAUGAAACCAUUAAAAGAGUCCAUGUAUUUAGACAGCGGGUCGGUGCCCCUAAAAGCAGGUAUCCGUUAAUGAGUGUGUUAAAACUCCCCCGCCGAAUACUCUGGCCUUGAAAAUGAAUGGCGCAUAUAGUAAUACCGAUAUUAUACAUUAAAAUUAUUUAAAAAUUUUAAAAGUAGGGGGAUGUGGAUAUCUUAGAGAAUUUUUAAUUGUAAAAUUGAAUUGAAAGAUAUCUAUUACAGAUCCUAAUUGAAGUAGCGAUUAUCCAGGUUAAUCUCCUGGGGGCUGAUGAGGAGUAGGGUUUCUGGGCAACUUAAACGGACCCAGAGUUAGUCGAUCCUAAUCAAAUUAAAUUUAGAGAAAGGGAAUAUGAAUGAUAUUUCAUAACUAAAAUUAAUUUUUAAAUGGUGACAUUUUUUUAAACUUAUUUCCAUCAAUUAAAUACUGUUUAAUAGGGAUUUCUUUCCUAUAUAACUUUUUAAUUAAAACUUAAGAAACAGGUUAACUGGAGAAUAAAGUUUUAAUUUAGUAAAAUUAUAAUUUCGAUUAUAAUAACGGCUAUUUAAAUGAUCCAUGAAACAAUAAGUUUAUUUUUUCAAAAAUUAAUUUAAUCGUACCGAUAACCGCAUCAGGUCUCCAAGGUGAGUAGCUUCUGGCCAUUGAGUAAUGGUAAUUUAGGGAAUUCGGCCAAUUAGAGCUGUAACUUCGGGAUAAAGCUUGGCUCUGAUGGAAAUCAGAACCGAUAGUUACAAGGAGAGCCCAACUGUUUAAUAAAAACUUAGUGUCGCGUCAUACCUUUAUAAGUAAUAAACGUGACAUGAAUCCUGCUCAGUGCUGUGUUUGUUAAACUGGAUUAAUCCAUUUAAGCGCCGGUAAAUAGCUGGGGUAACUAUGACUCUUAUCAAAGUAGCGAAAUACCUCGUCACUUAAUUAGUGACCUGCAUGAACGGAGCUAUGAGGUUCUCACUGUCCCAAAUUAUCACUCAGCGAACCAACAGUUGUGGGAACGGGCACAAAUUAUCCAGCGGGGAAAGAAGACCCUGUAGAGCUUCACUUUGGUCUAAUCUUGUAUAGUUUCGUUAGGGGUGCAGUCUAGGUGGGAGAUUUUUAAUCAAAUAUGAGAAACCACUACCCUUUCUGGAAUUAUACUUACUAAAAUUCUUUUCUAAAUUUUAGGAUCGGAUUAGAUAGAAAGUUUGGCUGGGGCGGCACACCUUCGAAAAAGCAGCGAAGGUGUCCUAAGUUAAGCUCAGUAAGGACAGAAAUCUUACGUUGAGGAUAAGGCCAAAAGCUUAAUUUACUGUGCCUUUUUGUACUAGGAUCAGUUUGGAAACAAAGGCCUAACGAUCCCUAAUUAGUCUUAGGUGUGUAAGACUUGGGGUGACAGACAAGUUACCUCCGGGACAACUGGCUUGUGGCUGCUAAGAGAUCAAAUCAACGCAGCUUUUUGAUUCUUCGAUGUCGGCUCUUCCUAUCCUAGUGAUGUACAAGUCACUAAGGGUUGGAUUGUUCACCCGUAUUAGGGAUCGUGAGCUGGGUUUAGACCGUCGUGAGCCAGGUUUGUUUUAUCCUACUGGAUAUAAUUUAGCAUCUUGAUAGUAGUUUGAUUUAGUACGAGAGGAACUGUUGAAUAUGGUCUCUGGUUUGGGAAUUUUAUGAAAAUAAAAGUUCCAAAGCUACGCCGUCUGAGAUAAUGGCUGAAGGCCUCUUAAGCCAGAAACUCAUCUAAAAAUAGAUGCUUUAAACUAUUUAAAAGAAUUAAAUUUAAAAUAUUUUUUUUAUUAAAAUUUGUUAAUAAUUCUUUAGUUUAAAUGACCAAAUGUAGAAGACGUUUUGUCAACAAGGGUCCUGUAAGUGUGAGAGUGGCAUUU